AGUGAACGCUGGCGGUAGGCCUAACACAUGCAAGUCGAACGGCAGCACAGUAAGAGCUUGCUCUUACGGGUGGCGAGUGGCGGACGGGUGAGGAAUACAUCGGAAUCUACUUUUUCGGGGGGGAUAACGUAGGGAAACUUACGCUAAUACCGCAUACGACCUACGGGUGAAAGUAGGGGAUCUUCGGACCUUGCGCGAUUGAAUGAGCCGAUGUCGGAUUAGCUAGUUGGCGGGGUAAAGGCCCACCAAGGCGACGAUCCGUAGCUGGUCUGAGAGGAUGAUCAGCCACACUGGAACUGAGACACGGUCCAGACUCCUACGGGAGGCAGCAGUGGGGAAUAUUGGACAAUGGGCGCAAGCCUGAUCCAGCCAUACCGCGUGGGUGAAGAAGGCCUUCGGGUUGUAAAGCCCUUUUGUUGGGAAAGAAAAGCAGCAGGUUAAUACCCCGCUGUUCUGACGGUACCCAAAGAAUAAGCACCGGCUAACUUCGUG
rnacentral:rRNA from 1 species